rnacentral:rRNA from 1 species
UACAGGGGGUGCAAACGUUGCUCGGAAUUAUUGGGCGUAAAGCGCGCGUAGGCGGCUACUUAAGUCGGAUGUGAAAGCCCUUGGCUCAACUGAGGAAGUGCACCCGAAACUGAGUGGCUUGAGUACUAAAGAGGGUCGCGGAAUUCCCGGUGUAGAGGUGAAAUUCGUAGAUAUCGGGAGGAACACCGGUGGCGAAGGCGACUGCCUGGACCAGCACUGACACUGAGGCACGAAAGCGUGGGGAGCAAACAGG